AUGGUUGAGGGCUCCGAGUCCGAUAUUGCCAACCUGAAGUUCCUCCUCCUCUGCUUCCAAUGGAUGUCCGGUCUGACCAUCAACUUUGAUAAGAGCGAAGUGAUGAUGCUGGGAUACCCACCGGUGGAGGCCCAGGGCAUUGCGGACCGGCUUAAUUGCCGCCUGGGUUCUUUCCCCACGACCUAUCUGGGGAUCCCCAUUAGUGACUCUCGCCUCACCGUAGCGGACCUCCGCCCUUCCGUGACCCGGAUGCAACACCGAGUCGAGCCCUGGAAGGGCCGGUGGCUCUCGAAGGCGGCGCGGGUAAUCCUCAUCAACUCCUCGCUGGCUAGCCUUCUCUGGUUCCUCAUGAGCUUCUAUAGACUCCAUGAGACGCUUCACCAGGAGGUGGCCAAAUAUCAGUCCAGAUUUUACUGGGCUGGCGAGGGGGACAAGCAAAAAUACCAUAUGGUGAGCUGGCCGGACAUUUGCAAACCCAAGGACCAGGGAGGUCUGGGGAUCUUAUCCUCCCGUCGCAUGAACAUUGCUCUCCUAUCCCGAUGGCUAUGGUGUAUUGCCAACGGGGAGGGCGGCCUCUGGCUUACCAUCAUUCAGAAUAAGUACCUCCGAGGACAACCUCUUGCUUUCUGCCAGCGCUCUGGGGGAUCUCAGUUCUGGCAGGCGGUGAUUCAGCUCCUCCCCGUGCUCCGGAUUGGCACUUCCAUCUAG
rnacentral:rRNA from 1 species